AAUAUUGAGCAAUGGGCGCAAGCCUGACCCAGCGACGCCGCGUGGGGGACGAAGGCCUUCGGGUCGUAAACCCUUGUCAUAGGGGAAGAUGGGUGUAUGUGCUAAUACCACAUACACUUGACGGUACCCUAAUAGGAAGCCCCAGCUAACUCCGUGCCAGCAGCCGCGGUAAUACGGAGGAUCCGAGCGUUAUCCGGAAUCAUUGGGUUUAAAGGGUCCGUAGGUGGACGGUUAAGUCAGGGGUGAAAUCCCGCAGCUCAACUGUGGAAUUGCCCUUGAUACUGGCCGUCUUGAGUCAUUGUGAAGUGGUUGGAAUAUGUAGUGUAGCGGUGAAAUGCAUAGAUAUUACAUAGAACACCGAUUGCGAAGGCAGAUCACUAACAAUGCACUGACACUGAUGGACGAAAGCGUGGGGAGCGAA
rnacentral:rRNA from 1 species